rnacentral:lncRNA from 1 species
AACUUAAACAUAUAUAUUUCUUUCCAAAUUAUAAUUAUUUUAUAAUAUUUAUAUAUACUUUACUCAAUCCAAUCUAUCCGACUUGAUCCUUCUUAUUUAUCCGACUUGAUCUGAGCUGUAUCUCUACUUGACUCGACCCAACCCAAUCUGAGAUGGGUAUAGAUAUGGGGUUUUAAUUAGGGGAUAUAUACGAGUAUUGGCCGAUCAAAUCCAUGUUCAACCCAUUG